rnacentral:ncRNA from 2 species
CUCUUAUCCAGAGAGGUGGAGGGACCGGCCCUUUGAAACCUCGGCAACCUGAUUAAAUUCAAGGUGCCAAUUCCGGCAGAUAUAUGUUCUGGAAGAUGAGAG